UAAGCGCUCACAACGAUCAAAAUGCUCCUUUAGUCGUUCCACAUAACGACCGCGGUCGUUGUGGUCGCGGCGAAAACGUCACUCAUGACGUCAUUACUAACGCUCACGCGAAGCUCACGACGACCCAUCUGAAGACGUGGGUCGUAGUGGGCGUUGAGAAAAUUAGCGGUUUUUUCGAAACUGACAACAAUAAAAAUGGCGACCGUGAAACUGACAUUAUAUAAUGCGGAAAGAGAUAUUUUAGUAGAUGUAAAUGUUUCUGCAGCGGAUGCUCAACGUGCCUCCACAGAUACAGUAUUUGCGACGCAACUUUUGAACAAAUGUUUAAAUGAAUAACUGCAAACAUCAACGUCCGCUGAUCUUGCUGAUAACAACGUUCAAUUAACUGAUGAAAGCACUGAUACUUUUAUUGAUGAAGAAUUCCUCAGUACAGGAGAUACUGCUUAUUCCAAAUUAUCAAUUUUUUCAAUACGGAUCAAUGUAAUCAGUAAUUAUUUAAGUUUAUUUUGAAGGAUUACAGAUUAAAUCUUAACCUCUUUAA
rnacentral:lncRNA from 1 species